rnacentral:tRNA from 1 species
GGAGAGGUGGCAGAGUGGUCUAAUGCGCUGGUCUUGAAAACCAGAACAUCCGAAAGGGUGUCGCGAGUUCGAAUCUCGCCCUCUCCGCCA